rnacentral:rRNA from 1 species
AACGAACGCUGGCGGCAUGCCUAACACAUGCAAGUCGAACGAGACCUUCGGGUCUAGUGGCGCAAGGGUGCGUAACGCGUGGGAACCUGCCUUUAGGUUCGGAAUAACUCAGAGAAAUUUGAGCUAAUACCGGAUGAUGUCUUCGGACCAAAGAUUUAUCGCCUUUAGAUGGGCCCGCGUAAGAUUAGCUGGUUGGUGGGUAAAGGCCUACCAAGGCGACGAUCUUUAGCUGGUCUGAGAGGAUGAUCAGCCACACUGGGACUGAGACACGGCCCAGACUCCUACGGGAGGCAGCAGUGGGGAAUAUUGGACAAUGGGCGAAAGCCUGAUCCAGCAAUGCCGCGUGAGUGAUGAAGGCUUAGGGUUGUAAAGCUCUUUACCCGAGAUGAUAAUGACAGUAUCGGA